UACGAAGGGGGCUAGCGUUGUUCGGAAUUACUGGGCGUAAAGAGCGUGUAGGCGGUCUGGUAGGUCCGUUGUGAAAACUCGAGGCUCAACCUCGAGACGCCGAUGGAAACCCUCAGACUAGAGUCCGGAAGAGGAGAGUGGAAUUCCUGGUGUAGCGGUGAAAUGCGCAGAUAUCAGGAAGAACACCCGUGGCUAAGGCGGCUCUCUAGUACGGUACUGACGCUGAGACGCGAAAGCGUGGGGAGCGAACAGG
rnacentral:rRNA from 1 species